rnacentral:lncRNA from 1 species
AAAUUAUUGGUAAUUCCUAGGUUAAACAAAAUGUUACAGUCAGUCUUUUGUCACCAUUAGUCAUCACUCCCAUUUUACAGCUCAGAAUGUGGGCAAAAGACAGUUAAAUAAUUUGUUAAGUAUAUAAAAAGUGAUAUGUAAGAAGUCAGCUGGUAGACUGAGAGUAGAAAUCUUUUGGCUCUCAAUUCCAGAUCUUUUAUGUGGGACUUUAAACGUUAUAUCUCCCUCU